rnacentral:scRNA from 1 species
GGGUAUAACCCGCCUAUAGACGCCGACUACGC